UCCUCGAGUGGCGAACGGGUGAGUAACACGUGGGUGAUCUGCCCUGCACUUCGGGAUAAGCUUGGGAAACUGGGUCUAAUACCGGAUAGGAACCAUCUUUAGUGUGGUGGUUGGAAAGUUUUUUCGGUGUAGGAUGAGCUCGCGGCCUAUCAGCUUGUUGGUGGGGUAAUGGCCUACCAAGGCGGCGACGGGUAGCCGGCCUGAGAGGGUGUACGGCCACAUUGGGACUGAGAUACGGCCCAG
rnacentral:rRNA from 1 species